UUAGAGUUUGAUCCUGGCUCAGGACGAACGCUGGCGGCGUGCCUAACACAUGCAAGUCGAACGGAGUCGGCCCCGCAAGGGACUGACUUAGUGGCGAACGGGUGAGUAACGCGUGAGCAACCUGCCUUUCAGUGGGGGACAACAGUUGGAAACGACUGCUAAUACCGCAUAAUGUAUUGAGAUCGCAUGAUUUUGAUACCAAAGAUUUAUUGCUGAAAGAUGGGCUCGCGUCUGAUUAGCUAGAUGGCGGGGUAACGGCCCACCAUGGCGACGAUCAGUAGCCGGUCUGAGAGGAUGAACGGCCACAUUGGGACUGAGAUACGGCCCAGACUCCUACGGGAGGCAGCAGUGGGGAAUAUUGGGCAAUGGGGGAAACCCUGACCCAGCAACGCCGCGUGAAGGAUGACUGCCCUAUGGGUUGUAAACUGCUUUUAUAUAAGAGGAACAGUAUUUAUGUAUAGAUAUUUGCCAGUAUUAUAUGAAUAAGGAUCGGCUAACUCCGUGCCAGCAGCCGCGGUAAUACGGAGGAUCCGAGCGUUAUCCGGAUUUAUUGGGUUUAAAGGGUGAGCAGGCGGUAGUAUAAGUCAGCGGUGAAAACUUGCAGCUCAACUGUAAGCUUGCCGUUGAAACUGUAUUACUUGAGUUAAGUUGAGGUAUGCGGAAUGUGGUGUGUAGCGGUGAAAUGCAUAGAUAUACCACAGAACGUCGAUUGCGAAGGCAGCAUACUAAGUUUAUACUGACGCUGAUGCACGAAAGCGUGGGGAUCAAACAGGAUUAGAUACCCUGGUAGUCCACGCCGUAAACUAUGAUUACUCGUUGUUUGCGAUAUACUGUAAGCGACUGCGCGAAAGCAUUAAGUAAUCCACCUGGGGAGUACGUUGGCAACAAUGAAACUCAAAGGAAUUGACGGGGGCCCGCACAAGCGGAGGAACAUGUGGUUUAAUUCGAUGAUACGCGAGGAACCUUACCUGGGCUUAAAUGGGAAGUGACGGUAGUGGAAACACUACUUUCUUCGGACACUUUUCAAGGUGCUGCAUGGUUGUCGUCAGCUCGUGCCGUGAGGUGUCGGGUUAAGUCCCAUAACGAGUGCAACCCUUGUCGAUAGUUGCCAGCAUGUAAUGAUGGGGACUCUAUCGAGACUGCCGGUGUAAACCGUGAGGAAGGUGGGGAUGACGUCAAAUCAGCACGGCCCUUACGUCCAGGGCUACACACGUGUUACAAUGGUCGGUACAAUGGGCAGCUACUCAGCGAUGAGAUGCUAAUCUUCAAAACCGAUCUCAGUUCGGAUCGGAGUCUGCAACUCGACUCCGUGAAGCUGGAUUCGCUAGUAAUCGCAUAUCAGCCAUGAUGCGGUGAAUACGUUCCCGGGCCUUGCACUCACCGCCCGUCAAG
rnacentral:rRNA from 1 species